rnacentral:rRNA from 1 species
UACGAAGGGUGCAAGCGUUACUCGGAAUUACUGGGCGUAAAGCGUGCGUAGGUGGUUUGUUAAGUCUGAUGUGAAAGCCCUGGGCUCAACCUGGGAAUUGCAUUGGAUACUGGCAGUCUAGAGUGCGGUAGAGGGUAGCGGAAUUCCCGGUGUAGCAGUGAAAUGCGUAGAUAUCGGGAGGAACAUCCGUGGCGAAGGCGGCCUUCUGGUCCAGUACUGACACUCAAGUGCGAAAGCGUGGGGAGCAAACAGG